AGCACCGGCUAACUCCGUGCCAGCAGCCGCGGUAAUACGGAGGGUGCGAGCGUUAAUCGGAAUUACUGGGCGUAAAGCGCAUGCAGGUGGUUUGUUAAGUCAGAUGUGAAAGCCCGGGGCUCAACCUCGGAAUUGCAUUUGAAACUGGCAGACUAGAGUACUGUAGAGGGGGGUAGAAUUUCAGGUGUAGCGGUGAAAUGCGUAGAGAUCUGAAGGAAUACCGGUGGCGAAGGCGGCCCCCUGGACAGAUACUGACACUCAGAUGCGAAAGCGUGGGGAGCAAACAGGAUUAGAUACCCUGGUAGUCCACGCCGUAAACGAUGUCUACUUGGAGGUUGUGGCCUUGAGCCGUGGCUUUCGGAGCUAACGCGUUAAGUAGACCGCCUGGGGAGUACGGUCGCAAGAUUAAAACUCAAAUGAAUUGACGGGGGCCCGCACAAGCGGUGGAGCAUGUGGUUUAAUUCGAUGCAACGCGAAGAACCUUACCUACUCUUGACAUCCAGAGAACUUUCCAGAGAUGGAUUGGUGCCUUCGGGAACUCUGAGACAGGUGCUGCAUGGCUGUCGUCAGCUCGUGUUGUGAAAUGUUGGGUUAAGUCCCGCAACGAGCGCAACCCUUAUCCUUGUUUGCCAGCGAGUAAUGUCGGGAACUCCAGGGAGACUGCCGGUGAUAAACCGGAGGAAGGUGGGGACGACGUCAAGUCAUCAUGGCCCUUACGAGUAGGGCUACACACGUGCUACAAUGGCGCAUACAGAGGGCAGCCAACUUGCGAAAGUGAGCGAAUCCCAAAAAGUGCGUCGUAGUCCGGAUUGGAGUCUGCAACUCGACUCCAUGAAGUCGGAAUCGCUAGUAAUCGUGGAUCAGAAUGCCACGGUGAAUACGUUCCCGGGCCUUGUACACACCGCCCGUCACACCAUGGGAGUGGGCUGCAAAAGAAGUAGGUAGUUUAACCUUCGGGGGGACGCUUACCACUUUGUGGUUCAUGACUGGGGUGAAGUCGUAACAAGGUAGCGCUAGGGGAACCUGGCGCUGGAU
rnacentral:rRNA from 1 species